rnacentral:ribozyme from 1 species
GCCAUCCAGAUAUGCUGCCUCUACGUGGCGGAUGGCAGGCAACGGAGUGUGUACGCAAUCUCCGGCAAAAGCAUAA